rnacentral:rRNA from 1 species
UACGGAGGGUGCAAGCGUUAAUCGGAAUUACUGGGCGUAAAGCGCACGCAGGCGGUUUGUUAAGUCAGAUGUGAAAUCCCCGGGCUCAACCUGGGAACUGCAUCUGAUACUGGCAAGCUUGAGUCUCGUAGAGGGGGUAGAAUUCCAGGUGUAGCGGUGAAAUGCGUAGAGAUCUGGAGGAAUACCGGUGGCGAAGGCGG